UUUUUUUUUUUUUUUUCUUUUUUGCCACACAGGCAGUAUGUAGGAAUUCCUAGGCCAGGGAUUGAACCUACACCACACAGCCCCAACCAGAGUCACAGCAGUAAGAACACAGGAGCCUCAACCUGCUAGGCCAUCUAAGAACUCCCUAAAACAUUUUUUUAUGUUCACAUGAAACUUUAUAUGUUCUUUUAACUUAUACCUGCCAGUCCUAAUUCUGCCCUGUUAAUUUCUACAUAUGUUUCCUUAUUUCCUAUUUCUAAGGGCUUUAUAUGUAGGUACAGUCUUCACCCCAAACCCCAGACAUCCAAGUUAAUACUAGGAAAUAUUAUGGGAGUAGAUUUAGACAAGUCUUUGUAUUGCUAAGAACUUAAGGUUUCUGUGCCCUGUCAGACGUGAUGUCACCAGCUGUUCUCAAAGCAGCAUCAGCGGGCAGCUGUAACCUUACAUUUUCAUGGUCUCCUCUUAUAAAAACAGAAAGGAGGCAACAUGUAUAAGGACCAAUAGCUCCUGUUAAUUACGUGUUAACACCACAUCAAACAUUAAAACCAACUUAGAUAAAACUACACUCCACCUUCAACACUACCGGUAUCAACCUAUAUCCCAAGCCUCUGUUUAAUCUUAUUUUUCUUUUCUCCCCAUCCUCUAUGGUAGGAACCUACCAUGUCCAGCCACCCAGGAUUCGUCGCCCCUAGCCAGCAGGAAGUAGCUACAAAAGAGUGGACCGUUGCCCCUAUCCCAUAUAAGAAAAGGCUGGAAUGACAGGUUCCCAGGAAGAUGGAGACAGACCCCAAACCCCCAAAUGUGGCUGUUCAUCUUGGGGACCCGCUUGCAGCCUAGCACAAGAUCUACUCACUUUCCCAGAAUGUGGAGUCUCAGGUUGGGCAGCAAGAAACAAUGGCCUAUGGAAAAUUACUGCCUGCAUAGAUUAACCUCCUACAAGGAUUAACUGCCCUCUGUCAUGGGACUCAACACCCCUACUCCUCCCUUAACCUUCUCCUCCUUCUUCUUUAUCAUUCCUGCCACAAGUUCCAGCCAUAAACUCCAUCCAGACACAGAUUCCCGCCACAGAUCUUUAUAAACCUGGCACCUCCUCACGGUCAGAGCUGGUGCCACCUUAAGCUCAGCUCAUGCCCCUCUGAUGCCUUAAUAAAUUCUUUUGCUUUACUAACUUGGCCUGCGUGUUCCUCCCUUGGCAAACCUAACAUUAUCAUCUCUGCUUUUAAAAGAUUUAAAAAACUGAGACAUAGAUGUUCCUUAACUUACUCAGCAUCAUACAACUCCAUAAUUUAACCUUACCUCCCACCCAAAUAAGUGUUAAUGAUUUAAUCUGGGCAAAGGAUACUCUAAGAUUUCUGAGGUUUCCUGAAUGAAAUUCACAUUUUAGUUUGAUUUUGUCCCCCCUGUUUUCAGGAUUCAACAAACACUCAGCAGUUUAAUUUCCUGUCUUGUCUUCCACUCACACACCUGUUCCCUAAUUUUACUCAUAAUUAUACAUCCCUUCAAAAGAGCUCGCUUUUAUGAAUCUCAGUCUCUUUGGGGAUGAAAUAGGAUUCCCAGUUCCAAGAAGACUUUUUCAUUUUUACUGAACUAUCAACUAUCUGCACAGCCAUUCUCUGGCCAUAGACAGGGAGCACUGGAGAAAGAAUGUGUAAUGAGUAGGAGAGGAGGGAGAGUCCCUGGGUUGAUCACAAAGGGGAGGAGGUUCCUAAAUGCAGAAACAAUCAUAAAACACACCCAGGGUUUGUGGCCUUUGAACAAUGGCAGCCCCACCUGCCUCCUUCCCUACCUGCUGGCCUCUGACUUCCUCCCCAGCAUGCCCCUCCUGGCCUUGACGUCUUAGACCCAUACUAGGGGCCUGGAACCGGGGGCCAAACCAGAGCACCCAACACCGAACUGUGUGGGUGGAGGGAGCAGCAAGGGAGAAAGCACUCAAUUUACAAGGGGCCUGACUCACUGUGUACACAACACCUGGGCACAGAAUGGAUUAGGGACAGGUUGCUAAGCAGAACUCAUGGUUUAGGGAGUUUUACAAAGGACACUUCCUCAAUGUCCUACUGAGAGCAGAGGGGUGGGUGUGGGAGGCAUGAUGGCUUCCUCCCAAUGUUUUUAACCCAUUCUCUACCUGCCCCCACCCUGCUAGUUACAUUCCUCUAUCCAUAGGUCACUUAUUUGCUGAGUUGGUUUCCAGAACAAAAAACAAAAAAAAAAAAUCUCAGUUGAAUUCCUUAAAGAUCCAAGCACUCAGUUCAGAACAAGUGUGUCUGUCAUCUUAGUGAUGACCAGUCAGAUAUCUUUUCAGGCUCUGGAGGAAAUUUUGACAAGAGCUUUGUACCACCCAGUAUCCCUUUGAGGAAAACUGAGCUACAAACAAGAGGAGGAAGGAACCUCCCGUGUGCUGGGACAUUUAUGUUUGCACCUCUAAUGCCCACGAGGACCCUGUGAAGUAGGUACUAUUAUCCCUAUUUGGCAAGCAAGAAACCAAAACGUCAAGAUCAGUUAACUUGGCCCUUAUCCAAGAACUGUAGAAACAGAACCAGGACUCAGAUUCUGAAUCUAAAGCUCAUGUUUUCACUCCUCACCAUCCUACCCACCAGCAUCCAAGGACAGGAAAGUGGAGUUCCCGUCAUGGCACAGUGGUUAACGAAUCCGACUAGGAACCAUGAGGUGGCGGAUUCGAUCCCCGCCCUUGCUCAGUGGGUUAAGGAUCCGGCGUUGCCGUGAGCUGUGGUGUAGGUUGCAGACGCAGCUCGGAUCCUGCGUUGCUGUGGCUCUGGCGUAGGACAGCAGCUACAGCUCUGAUUAGAAAUGGCAAAAAGACCAAAAAAAAAAAAAAAAAGAAUUGUG
rnacentral:lncRNA from 1 species